rnacentral:rRNA from 1 species
GAUGAACGCUGGCGGCGUGCCUAAUACAUGCAAGUCGAGCGAACGGACGAGAAGCUUGCUUCUCUGAUGUUAGCGGCGGACGGGUGAGUAACACGUGGAUAACCUACCUAUAAGACUGGGAUAACUUCGGGAAACCGGAGCUAAUACCGGAUAAUAUUUUGAACCGCAUGGUUCAAAAGUGAAAGACGGUCUUGCUGUCACUUAUAGAUGGAUCCGCGCUGCAUUAGCUAGUUGGUAAGGUAACGGCUUACCAAGGCAACGAUGCAUAGCCGACCUGAGAGGGUGAUCGGCCACACUGGAACUGAGACACGGUCCAGACUCCUACGGGAGGCAGCAGUAGGGAAUCUUCCACAAUGGGCGAAAGCCUGACGGAGCAACGCCGCGCGAGUGAUGAAGGUCUUCGGAUCGUAAAACUCUGUUAUUAGGGAAGAACAUAUGUGUAAGUAACUGUGCACAUCUUGACGGUACCUAAUCAGAAAGCCACGGCUAACUACGUG